UACGUAGGGUGCGAGCGUUGUCCGGAAUUAUUGGGCGUAAAGGGCUCGUAGGCGGUUUGUCGCGUCGGGAGUGAAAACCUCGGGCUUAACUCGGGGCUUGCUUUCGAUACGGGCAGACUAGAGGUAUGCAGGGGAGAACGGAAUUCCUGGUGUAGCGGUGAAAUGCGCAGAUAUCAGGAGGAACACCAACGGCGAAGGCAGCACUCUGGGCCGGUACUGACGCUGAGGAGCGAAAGCGUGGGGAGCGAACAGG
rnacentral:rRNA from 1 species